rnacentral:rRNA from 1 species
AUUGAACGCUGGCGGCAGGCCUAACACAUGCAAGUCGAGCGAGCGGCGGACGGGUGAGUAAUGUAUGGGGACUGCCCGAUAGAGGGGGAUAACUACUGGAAACGGUAGCUAAUACCGCAUACUAUCGGAUAACCCAUAUGGGAUGAGCUAGUAGGUGAGGUAAUGGCUAGCCUAGGCGACGAUCCCUAGCUGGUCUGAGAGGAUGAUCAGCCACACUGGGCCUGAGGCACUGCCCAGACGUCUACGGAUGCAGCAGUGGGGAAUAUUGGACAAUGGGCGCAAGCGUGAUGUAGCCAUGCCGCGGGUAUGAAGAAGGCCCUAGGGUUGUAAAGUACUUUCAGUCGUGAGGCGUUACCGACAGAAGAAGCACCGGCUAACUCCGUGCCAGCAGCCGCGGUAAUUC